GGAUAUUUACAGGAAGAAGAGGAGUGACAUAUUUCCAAGCAGCUCAGAACAUGUCAUUAGAACAGCAGGAUGGGCAGUCAUUGGAGGGGACAGUCAGAGGCACAACCUGGAGUUUUCAGGGACACACCAGGAUUUCCAAGGAAUCAGAAGAAAAUGGGACUUCCCCCGGCUAACCCAAGAAGACUAUGGAAACCAAUGAAACCAAUACCUUCAAAAUCCUAAGGGGAGACCCUGUUCUGUCAUCACAGGGCCAGGGACCCAGUGACUAGAGGCCAUCUCCAUAACCCCCAUCUGGGAAGGAAACUCAAAAUAAAAAUGAAGCAAAACAUGGUGUAGUAGGCUUAGGGAACAGCCUGCCUGCAAGGAACAGGAGCAUUUGGAACUUCAGAAUUGAUAUCCUCCCAAGAAGAAUGGAACUGCCGACACCUACAAGAAGAUACUUCAAAAAGCUCAUGGAAAAUAAAAAUUAAA